UACGUAGGGGGCAAGCGUUGUCCGGAAUCAUUGGGCGUAAAGAGCGUGUAGGCGGUCCGGUAAGUCCGCUGUGAAAGUCGGGGGCUCAACCCUCGAAUGCCGGUGGAUACUGUCGGGCUAGAGUGCGGAAGAGGCGAGUGGAAUUCCUGGUGUAGCGGUGAAAUGCGUAGAUAUCUGGAGGAACACCGGUGGCGAAGGCGGCAUCCUGGACCAAUAUUGACGCUGAGGAGCGAAAGCCAGGGGAGCAAACGGG
rnacentral:rRNA from 1 species